GAACCUGAGUGCUGCCUUAUUAAGAACUGUUUUUGCCAUCUGUUCUAAUGCCUCCGACUGUGUAGCUACUAUAUAGCGCACGCCAUAGACUUUUGGACCUGUUAUUACUCCGCUCCUUCGACUGUCCUUGUCACCCUUCAGCAGCUUGGCCUUUCCUCCAGUCUAUCCCACUCAGGGACAGGACAGCGUGAACCUCAACAGCCCAGCCCUUUUGGCAGCCAUUGCCGUCCACGUGUGAGGGACUGGACUAGGACCUGGCCUGCUGCAGCCUCGGAUGACCAGUCGGUUGGGGGAUCCAGAGACUACCGAGCGGGUGUGGUAGACUACACAACACACACAACCCGGGACCCUCAGCUGACUGACCGAGACGGGAUACUGAAGGACAAAUUAAACUGGACUAUUACAUCCUUUAUUACGGAAAAACACUACAGUUUUAAUUGUUACUUAAAUAAAAUACAGACUUUUACUA